UCUUAGGCCUAAAGCAGACAUAUUGACUGUUGUUAUUUCAAUAAAUAAAAAGCAUGUAUUAAAGCCAAAAUGUAACCAGUCCUCCUCUUCCUCCUCUGAUGUCUCUGCCCAACCUGGUGUGUCCCAUCCUGCUGUUCAUCCUCUACAAUGCCAUACUCAUCUUCUGUAUAUACACGUACAGAAGGUGGGCUCGAGCUCGAGCUGAUGCUAAAAGGGGAGCUGCAGGAAUCUGAUCAUGUCCUACUGGAAUAACAAGGAGAAGAAGAAGAGGAGGAGGAGCUACAAUUUGUGACAUUGUACAGUUUGUACAGUAUGUUGGCCAAUAUGACGGGGAAAAGGCAGUAUUCAUUUUCAUAUAUAUUAUUUAGUACAUGUUGUAUUUGCUUAUUUGUAUUAUGUCUUAGCUACAUGUUGCUUCCAUGGUUUAUGUAAAGAUCCACUCCAGAUGUGCAUUAAUAUACAAAUAGUCUGCUUGGAACAAUAAA